rnacentral:rRNA from 1 species
UACAGAGGGUGCAAGCGUUAAUCGGAAUUACUGGGCGUAAAGCGUGCGUAGACGGUUACAUAAGUCGGAUGUGAAAGCCCCGGGCUCAACCUGGGAAUUGCAUUCGAGACUGCGUAGCUAGGGUACGGUAGAGGGAAGCGGAAUUUCCGGUGUAGCGGUGAAAUGCGUAGAUAUCGGAAGGAACACCAGUGGCGAAAGCGGCUUCCUGGACCAGUACCGACGUUCAGGCACGGAAGCGUGGGGAGCAAACAGG